UCCAAACUAAGAAAGUGACUAAAUAGAGAUUAAUUCUACCAUUUUGAAAAGAAUUCUCCAGAGGUUUUAUUUAUGUAGUCAGGUACCCUUAUGCACUUGAAAUAGGUUCAAAGUUUUCCAUUCACACACAGUUUUUCAGAAACAUAUCUAGUAGUGCAUAAAAUGAGUAUUUAAACCAUUUUCCUCUUUUUUAGACAGUCCUACAGAAAAGGCAUCAGAUUUUUUUUGCAUACAAUUCAUUCUGGUAAGUGCUUAUUGCCAUUCUGACGCACUGACUUCCAUUUACCCAACAGCAGGAUUUACAAUGGGAUUUUUAACUGAUUGUGCUGGGAGAAGAUCAGGACUAUCCCAGAGAGCUGGCUGCUGAGGGUGGACCUGAGGGUGAAGUGGCGAAAGGAAAAACAAGGAGCUGCUUCUCCUUGGUGUUGUGAUGUGAACUGGACAUUUGCAGCUCUAUGUGGAAAUCAGAAAGUACAUCUUCAAUGAAACACAAAGCAACAUGUUAGUUGAAAAAUAGAAAACUGAAGAAGAAAAAAAAAGACAAAGGAAGCAAGUAAAAAGGUCUCCCCAGAGAACCU
rnacentral:lncRNA from 10 species